GCAUAGCUAGUUCUGUCGACCCGUGUG
rnacentral:sRNA from 1 species